rnacentral:rRNA from 1 species
GACGAACGCUGGCGGCGUGCUUAACACAUGCAAGUCGAACGCUGAAGCUCAGCUUUUGUUGGGUGGAUGAUUGGCGAACGGGUGAGUAACACGUGAGUAACCUGCCCCCUUCUUUGGGAUAACGCCCGGAAACGGGUGCUAAUACUGGAUAUUCACUGUUCUUCGCAUGGGGGUUGGUGGAAAGGGUUUUUCUGGUGGGGGAUGGGGUCGCGGCCUAUCUGCUUGUUGGUGGGGUGAUGGCCUACCAAGGCUUUGACGAGUAGACGGCCUGAGAGGGUGACCGGGAACAUAGGCACUGAGAUACGGCCUAGGCUACGCAGCGAGGCAGCAGUGGCGGAUAUUGCAGAAAGGGUGCAAGACUGAUGCAGCGACGGUGCGUGAGGGAUGGAGGCCUUCGGGUUGUGAUACUAUUUCGGUAAUGAUGAAGCCGCAACAGUGGUUGUGGUGAGGGUAGUGGGUAAAGAAGCGCCGGCUAACUACGUG